AGAGUUUGAUCCUGGCUCAGAUUGAACGCUGGCGGCAGGCUUAACACAUGCAAGUCGAGCGGUAGCACAGGGGAGCUUGCUCCCUGGGUGACGAGCGGCGGACGGGUGAGUAAUGUCUGGGAAACUGCCUGAUGGAGGGGGAUAACUACCUGGAAACGGUAGCUAAUACCGCAUAACGUCGCAAGACCAAAGAGGGGGACCUUCGGGCCUCUUGCCAUCAGAUGUGCCCAGAUGGGAUUAGCUAGUAGGUGGGGUAAUGGCUCACCUAGGCGACGAUCCCUAGCUGGUCUGAGAGGAUGACCAGCCACACUGGAACUGAGACACGGUCCAGACUCCUACGGGAGGCAGCAGUGGGGAAUAUUGCACAAUGGGGCGCAAGCCUGAUGCAGCCAUGCCGCGUGUGUGAAGAAGGCCUUCGGGUUGUAAAGCACUUUCAGCGAGGAGGAAGGUGGUGAGCUUAAUACGUUCAUCAAUUGACGUUACUCGCAGAAGAAGCACCGGCUAACUCCGUGCCAGCAGCCGCGGUA
rnacentral:rRNA from 1 species